rnacentral:rRNA from 1 species
GGGUCAGUAGGUUGGUCGUGCCACCGGUACGUACUGGUCUCACUGAUUCCUCCUUCCUGAAGAACUGUAAUGCCAUUAAUUUGGUGUUGCGGGGAAACAGGACUGUUACUUUGAAAAAAUUAGAGUGUUUAAAGCAAGGUAACGCUUGAAUACAUUAGCAUGGAAUAAUGAAAUAGGACGAUCGAUCCUAUUUUGUUGGUUUCUAGGAUUGACGUA